CACAAUUGCAGGCGCCGACAAGAGGCCCGGGCUUCCAUCCUAUGCGCUCCGGCACAUGAAUGAUGUCAUCAUCAUGCACCGGAGCACAGCCCGGAGAUGAAGACAGAAGAGAAGAGGCCAUGGACCGCGCGGGAGCCAGCUUAGACAUUGAACCGUGACCCUUAAAAGGUUUGGGAAUUCCUGUGGAAGCACAAGAUCCUGGAUUUCACUCUUCAUGAACAUCAGGUAUUAAUCAAUGAUGCGGUUGUGCUGCGUACACAUGCUGGACCACUGUUUAUCUUGUAUAAAGAGGUGCCAGUACUAGCACAGGCCCAAGUAUAGUAUAAUGUUGAUGGGUGUGUGUGGUGGCAUUGUGUGUGUGGUCACAAUGCUGGUUGGAGAGGCCAAAGUGGAGUGCUUAAAAGGGGAGAGCUUUGGUAUAGAAGGAGAAGACCAUGUGUGGUCUAACCGCGUGAGGUGCCAUAGGAGUCUGACGAACAAGCAUGAGCGAAGUAGGCCAAGAUCCAGACCCACUGCAAUCUACACUUAUGACAAGUCCAGACAACACGUCAAAGCGAAGUGUCAUUGGUAUCUACACACUCAAUAUCUGGUCAUUUGGAUUACCAAGUAUGAACACUACUCCAUGAACAAACCAGUGGAAGGGAGAAGCGCCGAACAGGAGAUCCCUUUUCUGUUUUCCCACAUUGCUGAGAUCCUCCUCCAGCUGAAUUGCUCCCUCCUCCUUCACCUGAAAUGCUCCCUCCCAUCGAGAAUCAAAGAUGGUGUUGGAAUGUAGCAGAGAUAAGAGAUGUAACUUUCUAGAUGAAUACGUUGAAGGAGUUUUAACCAAUUAGCUAUUUUUCACACCCAAUUUACCUAACUUCCUGCACACAGCAUUGUAUAAGCUAUAAAAAUCCCCUGUAGUAUCAACUCAGCUGACUCAGUGGUCUUUCUUAGCUCUUGCACCACUUCUGAUAAAACUAAUGAGGAAGGGGCAGAUCUUCACUGGGUACAACAAGGAUCUAUUUCACUCAAUUUUCCCAGAACAUGUGUGAAAAAUAGAUCAAAAUUACUGUGAUGUUUUGUUUUCUCAUCACUUUUUAUUCCAUUCUUUAUGAGAUGUGACAUAAGCAAAAAAAAAAGAGUAAUUCUGGUACCUUUUUUCCCACUUUUUUGACUGUAUUGGAGGAAUAACUUAU